rnacentral:rRNA from 1 species
GGUUACGAUCAUACCAGCACUAAUGCACCAGAUCCCAUUAGAACUCCGCAGCUAAGCAUGCUUGGGCGAGAGUAGUACUAGGAUGGGUGACCCCCUGAGAAGUCCUCGUGUUGCAACCCC